rnacentral:lncRNA from 1 species
AGUCAUAAUAGUUCUUGCAGCUUGGAGUGUGCCGCCAUCCUCCCCAAACACAUCUCGACUCUGAAAGUGACCCUAUGAAGGCUAUGACUGCUAAGCAGCAGGCAGAACAGACACGUUACUGUGAUGCAAGGUGUGAAAGCUGCUGAUGUUUACAGGAAACAGAUUGGAACAAGAUAUCAGCACAGACUGAGGCAACCAUGGAGAAGAUUGUAUGCUGAGAUGGAAGACCCAAAAGAUUGAAGCAGCCUGGAUAACUCGGGUACCACACAGAGGACAACUGCCCUAGAGAGUUGCCUUGACCCGCAAAAGACAUUGCCUGAGAUGAAAAUAAACUUUUAU